UACGAAGGGGGCUAGCGUUGCUCGGAAUCACUGGGCGUAAAGGGCGCGUAGGCGGCCAUUCAAGUCAGAGGUGAAAGCCCCAAGGCUCAACCUUGGAACUGCCUUUGAUACUGUUUGGCUUGAGACCGGUAGAGGUAAGUGGAACUGCGAGUGUAGAGGUGAAAUUCGUAGAUAUUCGCAAGAACACCAGUGGCGAAGGCGGCUCACUGGCCCGAUACUGACGCUGAGGCACGAAAGCGUGGGGAGCAAACAGG
rnacentral:rRNA from 1 species